CAGUCGCCGCGGUAAUACAGAGGGUGCGAGCGUUAAUCGGAAUUACUGGGCGUAAAGCGAGUGUAGGUGGCUCAUUAAGUCACAUGUGAAAUCCCCGGGCUUAACCUGGGAACUGCAUGUGAUACUGGUGGUGCUAGAAUAUGUGAGAGGGAAGUAGAAUUCCAGGUGUAGCGGUGAAAUGCGUAGAGAUCUGGAGGAAUACCGAUGGCGAAGGCAGCUUCCUGGCAUAAUAUUGACACUGAGAUUCGAAAGCGUGGGUAGCAAACAGGAUUAGAUACCCCUGUAGUCCCUGUCUCUUAUA
rnacentral:rRNA from 1 species